rnacentral:rRNA from 1 species
GCGGCGUGCUUAACACAUGCAAGUCGAACGAUGAUCAGGAGCUUGCUCCUGUGAUUAGUGGCGAACGGGUGAGUAACACGUGAGUAACCUGCCCCUGACUCUGGGAUAAGCGUUGGAAACGACGUCUAAUACUGGAUAUGAUCACUGGUCGCAUGGCCUGGUGGUGGAAAGAUUUUUUGGUUGGGGAUGGACUCGCGGCCUAUCAGCUUGUUGGUGAGGUAAUGGCUCACCAAGGCGACGACGGGUAGCCGGCCUGAGAGGGUGACCGGCCACACUGGGACUGAGACACGGCCCAGACUCCUACGGGAGGCAGCAGUGGGGAAUAUUGCACAAUGGGCGAAAGCCUGAUGCAGCAACGCCGCGUGAGGGAUGACGGCCUUCGGGUUGUAAACCUCUUUUAGUAGGGAAGAAGGGGGCUUCGGUUCUUGACGGUACCUGCAGAAAAAGCACCGGCUAACUACGUGCCAGCAGCCGCGGUAAUACGUAGGGUGCAAGCGUUGUCCGGAAUUAUUGGGCGUAAAGAGCUCGUAGGCGGUUUGUCGCGUCUGCUGUGAAAUCCCGAGGCUCAACCUCGGGCUUGCAGUGGGUACGGGCAGACUAGAGUGCGGUAGGGGAGAUUGGAAUUCCUGGUGUAGCGGUGGAAUGCGCAGAUAUCAGGAGGAACACCGAUGGCGAAGGCAGAUCUCUGGGCCGUAACUGACGCUGAGGAGCGAAAGCAUGGGGAGCGAACAGGAUUAGAUACCCUGGUAGUCCAUGCCGUAAACGUUGGGCGCUAGAUGUAGGGACCUUUCCACGGUUUCUGUGUCGUA